rnacentral:rRNA from 1 species
CCUACGGGUGGCAGCAGUGAGGAAUAUUGGUCAAUGGGCGGAAGCCUGAACCAGCCAAGUAGCGUGCAGGAUGACGGCCCUACGGGUUGUAAACUGCUUUUAUACGGGAAUAACGCGCCUUACGUGUAGGGCUUUGCAUGUACCGUAUGAAUAAGGACCGGCUAAUUCCGUGCCAGCCGCCGCGGUUAUAAGGAAUGUCCGGGCGUUAUCCGGAUUUAUUGGGUUUAAAGGGAGCGUAGGCCGCAUGUCAAGCGUGCUGUGAAAUGUCCGGGCUCAACCCGGGCCGUGCAGCGCGAACUGGCGUGCGUGAGUCCGCGGAAAGCAGGCGGAAUUCGUCGUGUAGCGGUGAAAUGCUUAGAUAUGACGAAGAACCCCGAGUGCGAAGGCAGCUUGCUGCAGCGGAACUGACGCUGAUGCUCGAAAGCGCGGGUAUCGAACAGGAUUAGAUACCCUAGUAGUC